UACCUGGUUGAUCCUGCCAGUAGUCAUAUGCUUGUCUCAAAGACUAAGGCAUGCAUGUCUAAGUAUAAGUAUUAUACAGCGAAACUGCGAAUGGCUCAUUAAAACAGUAAUAGUUUAUUUGACAAUCUAACUUAUAUGGAUACCCGUAGUAAUUCUAGAGCUAAUACAUGCUGUACUCCCGACUUCUUGGAAGGGAGGUAUUUAUUAGAUAAUAACCAAUAUUCCUUCGGGUCUAUCGUGGUGAAUCAUAAUAACUGAUCGAAUCGCACGGCCCUUGCCGCGAUAAGUCAUUCAAGUUUCUGCCCCAUCAGCUUUAGAUGGUAGUGUAUUGGACUACCAUGGCGUUCACGGGUAACGGAGGAUUAGGGUUCGAUUCCGGAGAGGGAGCCUGAGAAACGGCUACCACAUCCAAGGAAGGCAGCAGCCGCGUAAAUUACCCAAUCCUGACUCAGGGAGGUAGUGACAAGAAAUAACAAGCGGUAGCCUAGCUACUGAAUUGCAAUGAGCCGAAUUUACACCACUUAGUGAGGACCAAUUGGAGGGCAAGUCUGGUGCCAGCAGCCGCGGUAAUUCCAGCUCCAAUAGC
rnacentral:rRNA from 1 species